CAAACUCAUGUACCUAUACCCUAUACCACAAAAACAGACAGAAACCUGGAAACUUUUCUCUUUUUUGUUUCUGAACUUUUAAUAGAUAAUAGUAAGCUAUAUCUAAGUUGCCCAUGAUUCAGAACAUGACUUUCUGAUGAAAAGAUGAUGAAACAGACAGGCAAGGUGGGCAGAAACAAAUUGGAAUGCUCAGCUACUCAGAGAAUGAAUUUAAUGAGCCUAACACUUUUUCUUUGAUUCUGCAGACUACACUUUCAGCUGAUGCAAGGGUUGGACACUUUGCUUUUCUCUUCAAUACAACAAGGCAGUCAUUAGUCAAAGGCCGGAUUGUGGUAUUCUCAUCUCCUAAAGGGUCUGCUCAGAUUCUUUAUUGAGUAGAAAUUUGUAGCAUUUAGCUACUACAUCCCAAAAAGAGUGUUUGUAAUGUAAGUUGAAAUCCUUAUAUUUCCUAGCUUUAUCUGCUUUUUAGCUGUGACUUCCCACUAGAUGAAGAUGUUUACAUUGUACUUUAGACAAUACUUUUUUUUCUAAUUUAUUUGUAAUUCAGAAAAUAUUCAUUCUGGUAAUCAUUAUGCCCAGGUUCUCUAGGUACUUAUGAUUUAAAAAGUGUUUCCUCCUACUCUUAAUCCAAAGUAUUUAAAUAAUUACUCAUCUCCACUUGUCAAUCCUGAUAUAAGUCCUCUUUGAGAGAGAACAAUAUGUAUAACAAUCUCAAUAGGCACUAAAUGGAA
rnacentral:lncRNA from 1 species